UGGAGGGCUAACAGGCUCAAAACCACAAACGACCAAAGGAGUUGGAGCAGUGUCGCCUGGUGAAGGAGCAAAAACACUCGGCACCGGCUAUGGUGGUCCUGCUGGAGUACCUAACGGACCGUUGGCUAAAGCAGCCAAUGCUGGCUACGGCAUGAUGCCAAGUGGAAAGGGUACAAAGGGUGCAGGAGUGUCCAAUGAAAAAGGCCUAAAAGGUGGAGUUCUGUCUCCUGAGCAGCCGAGUGCAGCUCCAGAGGAGGUCGUUGCUCCUCCACAAGCAAUAACUCCAGGUCCAGCACCCGCUGCCCCCGAGCCGACCAGUGGGAUCCUCGUCAUGGUGACACAAGAGAAAUAUCAAAAGCUGC